rnacentral:rRNA from 1 species
UACGUAGGGCGCAAGCGUUAUCCGGAAUUAUUGGGCGUAAAGAGCUUGUAGGCGGUUUGUCGCGUCUGCUGUGAAAUUUCGGGGCUUAACCCCGAACUUGCAGUGGGUACGGGCAGACUAGAGUGUGGUAGGGGAGACUGGAAUUCCUGGUGUAGCGGUGAAAUGCGCAGAUAUCAGGAGGAACACCGAUGGCGAAGGCAGGUCUCUGGGCCAUAACUGACGCUGAGAAGCGAAAGCAUGGGGAGCGAACAGG